AGAUUAUGACAACCUAAGAAGAUACUAUCAAGCAACAAACCCAAUUUUCACAGCCAAAUACCAACAAUUGCACUGGAAGCGCACACAUAGGCACAAAUUGACUCAAGUUUUGGUUUCGCAUGCAAAUGAAGGGAUUUUAAGCUGAAAUUUACCAGAUAUUUUCUAUAAUAUGAAGGUAGAAUUCAGGUAAAAUUUGGUCAAAUUCUGGGUUGGUUUGAUGGGUGAACUAAAA
rnacentral:misc_RNA from 1 species